rnacentral:rRNA from 1 species
GGAGUAAGGGCCGUGUCUCAGUCCCCUUGUGGCCGUUCACCCUCUCAGGCCGGCUACCCAUCAUCGUCUUGGUGAGCCGUUACCUCACCAACUAACUAAUGGGACGCAAAGCUCUCUCACAGCGCAUAUAGCUUUCAUAACCAAAUCAUGCGACUCAGUCAUAAUAUCCGGUAUUAGCAUUCGUUUCCAAAUGUUGUCCCAGUCUGUAAGGCAAGUUCUUUACGCGUUACUCACCCGUCCGCCACCUUCACCCGAAGGAUCAAGUAGACUUGCAUGUGUUAAGCAUUCUGUCAGCGUUCAUC